rnacentral:rRNA from 1 species
AACGUAGGAGACAAACGUUAUCCGGAGUUACUGGGCGUAAAGGGCGUGUAGGCGGUCUGUUAAGUCUGGCGUGAAAGCUCUCGGCUAAACCGGGAGAGGUCGUUGGAUACUGGCACGACUAGAGGAUGGUAGAGGCGUGUGGAAUUCCGGGUGUAGUGGUGAAAUGCGUAGAGAUCCGGAGGAACACCAGUGGCGAAGGCGACACGCUGGGCCAUACCUGACGCUAAAGCGCGACAGCAUGGGGAGCAAACGGG